rnacentral:rRNA from 1 species
AUUGAACGCUGGCGGCAUGCUUUACACAUGCAAGUCGAACGGUAACAGGGUGCUUGCACCGCUGACGAGUGGCGAACGGGUGAGUAAUGCGUCGGAACGUGCCGAGUAGUGGGGGAUAACGCAGCGAAAGUUGUGCUAAUACCGCAUACGUACUGAGGUAGAAAGUGGGGGACCUUCGGGCCUCACGCUAUUCGAGCGGCCGACGUCUGAUUAGCUAGUAGGUGAGGUGAAGGCUCACCUAGGCGACGAUCAGUGGCGGGUCUGAGAGGAUGGUCCGCCACACUGGGACUGAGACACGGCCCAGACUCCUACGGGAGGCAGCAGUGGGGAAUUUUGGACAAUGGGCGAAAGCCUGAUCCAGCCAUGCCGCGUGUCUGAAGAAGGCCUUCGGGUUGUAAAGGACUUUUGUCAGGGAGGAAAUCCCUAGUGCUAAUAACACUGGGGGAUGACAGUACCUGAAGAAUAAGCACCGGCUAACUACGUGCCAGCCGCCGCCGUAA